rnacentral:lncRNA from 1 species
ACCCUACUGACCAGACCAUUUUACCUCCAAAGCAGAGUGGUCACACCUGAAGCAGGAAUGAGAAUGGUCCCAUGCCUCUUCUAACCUUAAGACACACUUGGGAACUGUAUGCGAGUGUGCUCCUGUGGUUGAAGGUUGCCCACAAACAGGGCAGCCCCUUGCUCCACAGGGACUGUCAGAAGGAGUGACCCACCCUGUCAAAUGCAAGAGACUUGGACUGUCACUGUCUGCACUCCAGAAAGGACGGGAAGUGACAAAGGAUGCUAAAUUGCCUUUAGUAGAUGGGUGGGUGAAAUGUUAUAGAACACUGAAACAAGGUUUCCAGGGAGCUUGGCUGUAUUCAAAAGAGACAAACUAGCCUUUGUACAUAUGGGAAGAUUUCUGUGUCAAACGUACAAGAGCAACGUGUUCCAGUCCUCCCCUGUUCAGGUUGUCUGUCUGUCUAAGAUGAAGAGCCCCCGAUGCCAUGAAUACUGUCUUCAUCUUAUGAGGUUCCCGAGAAAGACAACACUGGACCACCAUGUUUCCCUAGUUCUAAGGGGGAGAUUCUGCAAGAACUAACAGAAGUCCAUUGAAAGCCUUUAUGCUGUACAAACAACCAAAACACACACACAGAUUCCCUACAGCCUGGCCAUUGCUAGGAAUAAUGCUGCCAAAAGACACGGUCCAAGCUCUAUUACAAUCUCAAGUCAUGAAACAAGAAGGCAACAUCACAACAAGGACUCCCAUCCUCCUACUAAUCAUGUGUCCUGCCACGCAAGUGAACAGAAUACUUCAUUUUUCAGUGCUGUACAUUUUCCACAAGC